ensembl:lincRNA
CGCUCGGUAUUUCCCCGCCCACCUCCCUGGCCCCGCCCCACCCGGGCCUUCUCCAAGCUCCCUGAAGGGCAGCACCUGGGCUGAUUCCUGGGCAUGGAUCCUCCCAGGCCUGAUGGUGGCGGCGCGGAAGUCACAGGUGGGCUGGCCACCCUGUCCUCCUCCUCUCACUGUGUUUGAGCCAUCAGGGCCCCACCGCCCACCGCUCGGUAUUUCCCCGCCCACCUCCCUGGCCCCGCCCCACCCGGGCCUUCUCCAAGCUCCCUGAAGGGCAGCACCUGGGCUGAUUCCUGGGCAUGGAUCCUCCCAGGCCUGAUGGUGGCGGCGCGGAAGUCACAGGUGGGCUGGCCACCCUGUCCUCCUCCUCUCACUGUGUUUGAGCCAUCACCACCUUGUAUAGAUGUCCAGAGACGCACAGAUUCUCCGGACGCGUGCGCGGCGCACACUCACGCACACAACCUCGCGCAGACACAACGCACCUGCGCACAAAGCACUUUGUGACCAUGUGAGAAGCAGAACACGGUUUGGCGUUGGGCGAAGGCCGGAACUCAGCCGGCCCUUGCUUCUGCCGCUGGGUCGGAAGCCAUGGUCUCGGCGGAGGCGGCGGAGGAAGGAGAACCUUGGGCGCGGGCUGCGCCACCGCAAGUCCAGGCCGCAGACCAGGACCUGGAAACCGGGUUUCCAGACACCGCCUGACCUCGCCAUGUGUGCUCGGCCAUUUCAAAUGAAGAAGAUGGGACAGAGGAUGGUGACGGCCAUGGCAGUCAGGGGAGCGGUGGAGGAUUUUUCUGAAGAACUAGGAACAGUUAUGAAGAGGAAGGAGGUGACAGCUGAAGAGAUGCCUGAGUUGCUACUAAUGGACGUCUAGGGAGAGAAAUGUUGGAAGACCUUUUAGGAAAUCUCUUCUGAAAUGCACAGAAAUAUCUAGAGCUCACCAGGUAGCUGUGUCCCACAGUAUCCGGUGGCUGCCACAAUUCCUGAAGCCAGCGAUGCCGUCUGAUUUAUCCAAAAGAAGAAGUCACUGUGGAUGAGUUAAUCACUUGGAAUAGAGCGGCAGAUGCCAGAUGUCUCGUGAACAGAGGAGCUUUUCUGUAUCUUGAGGUUUUAAAAGCACACACACACACGUCCACUCUGCUGUAUGUUAUUCACGAUUUAUGAAAACAUGAUUGUUUCAAAAUGAAUUCAAAGUGACUUGUUUGUUUUUUUCCCAUUUUUAUGGGAAUGGUAAAAAAAGAAUGCAUGUAUCCUACACAACCAGCUUAACUCGCCAACAGCUAGAGAAUAUGUUGCCAUUUUCCUCGGAAUGUGAUAGGUGCUUGUUUAAUUAAAUGCUGUCUAUCAUCUUUAGCUUAUUAUUUCCAAAAAGCUUCAAAACCUAGCAAUGUGAAUGUUGUUCUGUGUGUUCCUUUGUUCCCAAAACUAAUGUCUCCAAAGAUGCCCUGAUGGUGUAUAAAAACCAAAAACCAUCAGGGAUCCUCUCUGCUUACUCGCUGAUUGCUUGAGGAAAUUUUUAGGAGUAAAUGUUUGCAAAACUGAUAGCGACUGGGGAAAGAGUGGGUAAAAGAAAUGAUUUUUAAAAAUCUGAGCAUUCAACCUCUGAUUCUUCUCUCUUCCUACAUCCCUUUCUGCGUUCAGUCAAAGGCCCUGGCACAUCAGGAUCUUAGAAACUGAAAUUGCCAGGGAUAGCAGUGUAUUCUGAUACAUCUCAGCUACUCAGAGGUUGAGCCAGAAAGAAUGCACAUUUGAGGCCAGCUUGGGCAACGGGGGCAAAAUCCCAUCUCCAAUAAAAAAGGAAGAGAAGGACAGAAAAAGAGACAAAGAGAAAAGAACGGAAGCUGAGAAUCAAGUCACUGUCUCAGGACACAGCUACCCUCACAGACGGCUCCAUUUCCCAUGCUUUUGAUGAAUCGGAUUGAGGUGGGGACUGAACAGGAGCCACAGCAGGAUUAGAAAUGCCAGUCGGAUGCAGCCCCAGCCUCAGAAGACACAAAGCACAGGUCUGGGCUGCACAGAGCUGGGCCAAGCCCAUGCAUCUCCUUCCAGGCUGCUGACUUGUUCUGACCACAGGUGCAUGGGCUGGACGCUUCCUCCUGGCCAAGUAAAACCAUCAAGGCUGUCUCUAGAGGAGUCACAAGAUGGUGACUUCAAGGUAACCAAUGGGACCCUUGUGAAAAGCUUGAGAUACGAUUUCUGACAGUCGUUUGGUGUAAUGAAAAGAUCACCAAACAGAGCUGAGAAAAAAAAAACCUCAAAAAUAGAUGUGAUUCUGGAUGAGAUUCUGGUAGUGGAAUGGGGUUUCUAUUUAAAUUUAUCUCUAAAGGAGCUCUCGUCAAAAGCAGGGCUGAGGCAGUAGGUAGGGAAGGUGGGAUGGCACAUGGACUCACGUCAGGGUUUGCCGAGGUGGGAGGAGGUAGGAGGGUGGAAAGACGUGAACAGAUGACUUCAGUUUCUUCAUGACCGCAAUAAUGCCGCUUUAGCUCUAUUCAACUUCUUUAAAGUCAAUCUACUUAAGGCCUAUAAUCAGAGUACAUUUUCUGGAACACACAGGAAGCCUCUGUAAAGAGAAAGAUAGGGCUGGGUUGGCUCCAUGGUAGAGGGAGGGGCUAGAG